rnacentral:rRNA from 1 species
AGCAGCCGCGGUAAUUCCAGCUCCAAUAGCGUAUAUUAAAGUUGUUGCAGUUAAAAAGCUCGUAGUUGAAUUUCGGGAUCAAUACGUCGGUCGUGCUUCGGUACGUACUGGCGUCAUUGACUUCUCCCUUCUGACGAACCAUGAUGUCAUUAACUUGGUGUCAUGGGAAAUCAGGACUGUUACUUUGAAAAAAAUUAGAGUGUUUAAAGCAGGCUCGCGCUUGAAUACAUUAGCAUGGAAUAAUGAAAUAGGACGUUCGAUCCUAUUUUGCUGGUUUUUAGGAUCAACGUAAUGAUUAAUAGGGAUAGUUGGGGGCAUUAGUAUUCAAUUGUCAGAGGUGAAAUUCUUGGAUUUAUUGAAGACUAACUACUGCG